AUAUUUUUAAACAAGAAAACAGGGUGGAUUUGAUUUAAGUCAAAUUGAUUUAAAUCAUAAAUUUAAAUCACUAGUCAGAAAGACUCAAUUUGAUCAUGGAUUUCUACAGAAAAGGGCAUUCUUGUUGGUUGUUAUAACCUUAAUACAUAUUCUUCACAACUCAGAAAGAUGAGACCCAAACUGGGUAUCUUUUAUGGCCUGCUGACAUUAAAGGUUUUCCCUUCUAGUGAG